GGCAAGAUGCCCAUCAGCACUCAAGUUCUUUUCAUAAAGUGGGUAUUGACUGUAUUUGAUAUGAUUGAUGCAAAGGACCAGCUACGAGCAAUUUAUGGCUUCAUCUUCAACUUUGUCACAGAUGAAAAUCUGUGUCCUUUCAUCUGCCAUCUCUUGUACCUUUUGACCCGAAAGGAAAGCG